rnacentral:tRNA from 1 species
ACCUGGCUGGCUCAGUCGGUAGAGCAUGCGAUGCUUGAUCCCAGGGUCGUGAGUUCAAGCCCCACGCUGGGUA